GGAAAGCUCAGUUGGUUAGAGCGUGGUGCUGAUAAUGCCAAGAUUGCAGGUUGAAUCCCCGUUUGGGACA
rnacentral:tRNA from 1 species